CCUACGGGCGGCAGCAGUAGGGAAUCUUCCACAAUGGGCGAAAGCCUGAUGGAGCAACGCCGCGUGGGUGAAGAAGGUCUUCGGAUCGUAAAACUCUGUUGUUAGAGAAGAAAGUGCGUGAGAGUAACUGUUCACGUUUCGACGGUAUCUAACCAGAAAGCCACGGCUAACUACGUGCCAGCAGCCGCGGUAAUACGUAGGUGGCAAGCGUUAUCCGGAUUUAUUGGGCGUAAAGGUAACGCAGGCGGUCUUUUAAGUCUGAUGUGAAAGCCUUCGGCUUAACCGGAGUAGUGCAUUGGAAACUGGGAGACUUGAGUGCAGAAGAGGAGAGUGGAACUCCAUGUGUAGCGGUGAAAUGCGUAGAUAUAUGGAAGAACACCAGUGGCGAAGGCGGCUCUCUGGUCUGUAACUGACGCUGAGGUUCGAAAGCGUGGGUAGCAAACAGGAUUAGAUACCCUAGUAGUC
rnacentral:rRNA from 1 species